CCCUUAGAUGCUCUGGGCCGCACGCGCGCUACACUGGUCGAUGCAACGAGUUUCUUUCCUUGGCCGACAGGCCUGGGCAAUCUUUGAACAUCGAUCGUGAUCGGGAUAGAUUCUUGUAAUUUUUGAUCUUAAACGAGGAAUUCCUAGUAAACGCAAGUCAUCAGCUUGCGUCGAUUACGUCCCUGCCCUUUGUACACACCGCCCGUCGCUCCUACCGAUUGGGUGUGCUGGUGAAAUGUUCGGAUCGGCCGUUUGUCGCGGUUUCCGCGUCAUGUGGCUGAGAAGUUCAUUAAACCCUCCCACCUAGAGGAAGGAGAAGUCGUAACA
rnacentral:rRNA from 1 species